AGAUAAUGAAUUUGAAAUGUAUCUAUUCAUAUGAUCACAAACUUAAGCAAUCCAAUCAGAAUACAAAGGUGUAAAUGGAGUGAUACAGUGGGUUAAAGACAAAAAAGUAGCCUGUUAGAGCCCCAGGGUAACCGCCAUCGCUUCCUCUCAACAUUUCGUAAAGUUGAAAACUAGUUGCCCAGAUGCCGUUUAUCCAAAUAUCUGCCUACGGCAUCACUUGUAUUGAUUGUCAUGAUAUGAACUUGAAAGGGAAACUU
rnacentral:misc_RNA from 1 species